AUUAGCGGCGGACGGGUGAGUAACGCGUGGGAACGUGCCCUUCACUGCGGAAUAGCCCAGGGAAACUUGGAGUAGGAGGCGNAUACGCCCUUCGGGGGAGAGAAUUUCGGUGAGGGAUCGGCCCGCGUUGGAUUAGGUAGUUGGUGGGGUAAUGGCCUACCAAGCCGACGAUCCAUAGCUGGUUUGAGAGGAUGAUCAGCCACACUGGGACUGAGACACGGCCCAGACUCCUACGGGAGGCAGCAGUGCGGAAUCUUAGACGAGGGGGGGAAACCCUGAUCUAUCCAUGCCGCGUGAGUGACGAAGGCCCUAAGGUCGUAAAGCUCUUUCGCCAGGGAUGAUAAUGACAGUACCUGGUAAAGAAACCCCGUCUAACCCCGUGCCAGCAGCCGCGGUAAUACGGAGGGGGUUAGCGUUGUUCGGAAUUACUGGGCGUACAGCGCGCGUAGGCGGGCUGUUAAGUCGGGGGUGACAUCCCGGGGCUCUAUCCCGGAACUGGCUCCGAUACUGGCAGCCUAGAGUUCGAGAGAGGUGAGUGGAAU
rnacentral:rRNA from 1 species